UACGGGGAGGGCAAGCGUUGUUCGGAUUACUGGGCGUAAAGGGCGCGUAGGCGGCGCAACAAGUCACUUGUGAAAUCUCCGGGCUUAACCCGGAGCGGCCAAGUGAUACUGUCGUGCUAGAGUGCGGAAGGGGCUACUGGAAUUCUCGGUGUAGCGGUGAAAUGCGUAGAUAUCGAGAGGAACACCUGCGGCGAAGGCGGGUAGCUGGGCCGACACUGACGCUGAGGCGCGAAAGCCAGGGGAGCGAACGGG
rnacentral:rRNA from 1 species